AAGGAGUCUAACAUGUAUGCGAGUAGGCGGGUGUAAAACCUUGCAGCCCAAAGGAAGUAAAAGGUGGGAUCCGUAAGGUGCACCAUCGACCGGUCAUGUUCCUCUGGAGAAAGAUCUGAGUUAGAGCAUAAAUGUUAGGACCCGAAAGAUGGUGAACUAUGCCUGAGUAGGGCGAAGCCAGGGGAAACUCUGGUGGAGGCUCGAAGCGAUUCUGACGUGCAAAUCGUUCGUCAAAUUUGGGUAUAGGGGCGAAAGACUAAUCGAACCAUCUAGUAGCUGGUUCCCUC
rnacentral:misc_RNA from 1 species